GACGAACGCUGGCGGCGUGCCUAAUACAUGCAAGUCGAGCGAGUCUGCCUUGAAGAUCGGAGUGCUUGCACUCUGUGAAACAAGAUACAGGCUAGCGGCGGACGGGUGAGUAACACGUGGGUAACCUGCCCAAGAGAUCGGGAUAACACCUGGAAACAGAUGCUAAUUCCGGAUAACAACAGAUGAUGCCUAUCAACUGUUUAAAAGAUGGUUCUGCUAUCACUCUUGUAUGGACCUGGGGUGCAUUAGCUAGUUGGUAGGGUAACGGCCUACCAAGGCGGGGAUGCGUAGCCGAGUUGAGAGACUGAUCGGCCACAUUGGGACUGGGACGCGGCCCAAACUCCUACGGGAGGCAGCAGUAGGGAAUCUUCCACAAUGGACGCAAGUCUGAUGGAGCAACGCCGCGUGAGUGAAGAAGGGUUUCGGCUCGUAAAGCUCUGUUGUUGGUGAAGAAGGACAGGGGUAGUAACUGACCUGUGUUUGACGGUAAUCAAUAAGAAAGUCACGGCUAACUACGUG
rnacentral:rRNA from 1 species